UACGUAGGAGACGAGCGUUGUCCGGAAUUACUGGGCGUAAAGCGCGUGUAGGCGGAUGAGCAAGUCUGCUGUGAAAGCUCCUGGCUUAACCGGGAGUGAUCGGUGGAAACUGCUCGUCUGGAGGACGGUAGAGGUAGGUAGAAUUCCCGGUGUAGUGGUGAAAUGCGUAGAGAUCGGGAGGAAUACCUGUGGCGAAGGCGGCCUACUGGGCCGGACCUGACGCUGAGACGCGAAGGCGUGGGGAGCGAACGGG
rnacentral:rRNA from 1 species